GCCUGUUUAUUUAGAAGGGGGGAAAGAAAAAAAAAGUGCGCGUGUGUAGGUGAUUUCACGGCGAGGAUUAAAGAGGGUCAGGGCGGCGCUAAAGAACGGCUCUAGAGCCACGGGUUGCUAACCCCCGCCUUAGUGUAUCGACAAACUGGAAGAUGCGGGCAGCUGUUCAAAGUACCCUACAGCUGUGACAAAUAAUUGAAGGAUGGGCAGAGUUGUGGACACACAGACUUUUGUGAUUUUGGACUAAAUCGCAAACUGGACAACAUCUUGGAGAAGUAUGUCUGCUCUGCAUGGCAAAGUUACGAUGAAUUUAAGAACCAGAAAACAGAUAAUUAGAGUGAAAAGUCUACAUUUAUUUUUGCUCACUCAAAGACAAACAUUCUCAUCUGGUUUGUUUCCCUGGCUGUAACGACGCGGCAAGGUAGUUGCUUCGAGAUUCACCCCCCCAGGACAGUGCAACAAACACAAAACAAAUUCCUUCCCUGUCUCUCAUGUUGACGUUGUUGGACUGACUGCGAGCACCAAAGUCGAGGAACGAAGCCACUCUUCAGGCAAAAUACAUCCACAGAAAAUACACGCCACACACCCGUACCUCGCCACCCACAUCCCACGCCUUCGUCGCUUCACUCCACGUGGUAUGAAGGACAAUGGAGCAGAGCCCCGAGUGGCAGCUUCGGGCCGGAUGCCCACGCCUCCCCUCUCAUUGCAAGUCUGAAGUUGUAUGUCAUAAUAUAUAGAGUUGUGGUCAAAAGUUUACAUAUACUUGUAAAGAAGGAGGAAAGUUCUGUGGUCAGAUGAAACAAACAUUGAGCUGUUUGGCCACAAUACCCAGCAAUAUGUUUGGAGGAGAAAAGGUGAGGCCUUUAAUCCCAGGAACACCACGCCUACCGUCAAGCAUAGUGGUGGUUGUAUUAUGCUCUGGGCCUGUUUUGCUGCCAAUGGAACUGGUGCUUUACAGAGAGUAAAUGGGACAAUGAAAAAGGAGGAUUACCUCCAAAUUCUUCAGGACAACUUAAAAUCAUCAGCCCGGAGGUUGGGUCUUGGGCGCAGUUGGGUGUUCCAACAGGACAAU